GUGUUGUAUGAAAGGAGAGAUUAGCAUUUUCCUCGAAAAGGUUGGAAGAUCCUACUCACCUGUUUAACACAUGCAUGGUUAAGGUAUGACCACUUACUUUGUGGCAUCUAACCAUGGUUUUUA